rfam:Aedes albopictus isolate Foshan contig128467, whole genome shotgun sequence.
GACUCCGUAGCUUGAAGAAAUAGAAGCGCCCGUCUAGCGAAUUGGGAGUCGUGAGUUCGAGUCUCACCGGAGUAC